CUAUUUACAUAUCGAUAGGUACAAUUUUAAAAGUACUCGGAUAUUCUGCUGUAUUUAUUUUUAUUUACUUACCUGUAUUCUUAAACUUUGUUUAAAAAAAAAAAACAAUAUUCAUUUUAUGGGUUUAAAAUUUGAUCGAUUCAGUUUAGAGAAGAAGACAGGUAGAAACGUUGUACGAGAUAUUUGUGGUACUUUCCUUGCUAAAUCUUGUCCAUUUAGCAAUCAGCAAUGAUGAUUAUAUCACGAGGCUACUGUAUUGUUAAAUUUCAUUAAAAAACAAUACUCACUUUGUGGAUUUAAAAUUUGAUCAAUUUAAUGUAGGGGAAAGGAGAAAACAUUACACGAGAGGUUUUUAAUAAUUUUCUCAUUAAAUCUUGUGAAUUUACCAAUUCAACGACAAAUUAUUAUAUCCAAUACUACGUAACCAAUGAGAACGAAGAAGUUAUUACGACGAAUAUCAAAUACUAUAUCAAUGAUGACAACCUAACAAACAUCUUGCUUAUUUUCAUCUUCUUAUUAAAAUAAGAAAUACAUUAAAAAUCAAAUAUUAGAAAAACAAGUAUGUUAUUCCUACCUUCGUGGAUUUUGUCUUAUCAUUGAAAUAAAUAAUCCAGUCAGCAUUCGGUUUACAUACGCAGUAAUUUUUAUCGGUGUUUAUUCGCUUUAACGCUUCGAUCAGACUCUUCUCGCUCCAUCGAACAAUCGAGCCAUAAGUUUAUCG
rnacentral:misc_RNA from 1 species